GUCACCUGCACCUCAAACAUAUUCCAUCAUAUUCGACAACCUGGACUUUUACGUUCAGACGCAUCAUCAGUCCACCAGCCAGACCAACAAGUCAAUUCACUGGAUCCACCACAUGUGUGUCAUCAACAGAAUCAACUCACUACACCUUGACAAGUUGAAACCGACAAAUUCUUUGAUUGACUAUGAUCUCGGGAAUUCACUUCCUGGACCAGACACACAAGCCAGUAUGCGUCGGGAAUUCGUUGUUUUGGGGAGCCGAGUCCUGACAGCUUAUUUUGAAUCAUUCAAGACCCUCUCCAGUGUGGUUGUUCAACACAUCCCCCACCAGUUCUCUGAAGAAAUGGCCCAGCCAUCCACUCAUUAUCCAAUUGGACUUCUAUUCAAGGACGAAACACAAACUGCCGACCUGGUGGAUGUGCUCCAGCACCUUCAAAAGGAGUAUGUGCCAAGAUGUCCUGAUGGGCUUGAAAAGAUUUUGAUCGGGGGUGACGGACUGACAGAGGCCAAUUC